CGUGUAGGCGGCUUGGUAAGUCAGAUGUGAAAGCCCUGGGCUUAACCCAGGAAGUGCAUUUGAAACUGUCAGGCUUGAGUAGGGGAGAGGAAGGUGGAAUUCCUGGUGUAGAGGUGAAAUUCGUAGAUAUCAGGAGGAACACCGGUGGCGAAGGCGACCUUCUGGCCCUAUACUGACGCUGAGACGCGAAAGCGUAGGUAGCAAACA
rnacentral:rRNA from 1 species